rnacentral:rRNA from 1 species
GACGAACCGUGCGAACGUUGUUCGGAAUCACUGGGCUUAAAGGGCGCGUAGGCGGGCCAUAAAGUCAGGGGUGAAAUCCUCCAGCUUAACUGGAGAACUGCCUUUGAUACUGAUGGUCUCGAGUAAGGUAGGGGCAUGCGGAACUGAUGGUGGAGCGGUGAAAUGUGUUGAUAUCAUCAGGAACUCCGGUGGCGAAGGCGGCAUGCUGGACCUUUACUGACGCUGAGGCGCGAAAGCUAGGGGAGCGAACGGG